UACGUAGGGUGCGAGCGUUAAUCGGAAUACUGGCGUAAGACGAGCGCAGACGGUUACUUAAGCAGGAUGUGAAAUCCCCGGGCUUAACCUGGGAACUGCGUUCUGAACUGGGUAGCUAGAGUAUGUCAGGGGGGGUAGAAUUCCACGUGUAGCAGUGAAAUGCGUAGAGAUGUGGAGGAAUACCGAUGGCGAAGGCAGCCCCCUGGGAUAAUACUGACGUUCAUGCUCGAAAGCGUGGUAGCAAACAGGAUUAGAUACCCCCGUA
rnacentral:rRNA from 1 species